rnacentral:rRNA from 1 species
CCUACGGGCGGCAGCAGUGGGGGAUAUUGGACAAUGGGGGGAACCCUGAUCCAGCGACGCCGCGUGAGUGAAGAAGUAUUUCGGUAUGUAAAGCUCUGUCAGCAGGGAAGAAAGAAAUGACGGUACCUGACCAAGAAGCCCCGGCUAACUACGUGCCAGCAGCCGCGGGAAUACGUAGGGGGCAAGCGUUAUCCGGAAUUACUGGGUGUAAAGGGAGCGUAGACGGUUAAGUAAGUCUGGAGUGAAAGGCCGGGGCCCAACCCCGGGACUGCUCUGGAAACUAUUGAACUUGAGUGCAGGAGAGGUAAGCGGAAUUCCUAGUGUAGCGGUGAAAUGCGUAGAUAUUAGGAGGAACACCAGUGGCGAAGGCGGCUUACUGGACUGUAACUGACGUUGAGGCUCGAAAGCGUGGGGAGCAAACAGGAUUAGAUACCCCUGUAGUC